AGCGGCGGACGGGUGAGUAACACGUGGGUAACCUGCCCAAGAGACUGGGAUAACACCUGGAAACAGAUGCUAAUACCGGAUAACAACACUAGACGCAUGUCUAGAGUUUGAAAGAUGGUUCUGCUAUCACUCUUGGAUGGACCUGCGGUGCAUUAGCUAGUUGGUAAGGUAACGGCUUACCAAGGCAAUGAUGCAUAGCCGAGUUGAGAGACUGAUCGGCCACAUUGGGACUGAGACACGGCCCAAACUCCUACGGGAGGCAGCAGUAGGGAAUCUUCCACAAUGGACGAAAGUCUGAUGGAGCAACGCCGCGUGAGUGAAGAAGGGUUUCGGCUCGUAAAGCUCUGUUGGUAGUGAAGAAAGAUAGAGGUAGUAACUGGCCUUUAUUUGACGGUAAUUACUUAGAAAGUCACGGCUAACUACGUGCCAGCAGCCGCGGUAAUACGUAGGUGGCAAGCGUUGUCCGGAUUUAUUGGGCGUAAAGCGAGUGCAGGCGGUUCAAUAAGUCUGAUGUGAAAGCCUUCGGCUCAACCGGAGAAUUGCAUCAGAAACUGUUGAACUUGAGUGCAGAAGAGGAGAGUGGAACUCCAUGUGUAGCGGUAGAAUGCGUAGAUAUAUGGAAGAACACCAGUGGCGAAGGCGGCUCUCUGGUCUGCAACUGACGCUGAGGCUCGAAAGCAUGGGUAGCGAACAGGAUUAGAUACCCUGGUAGUCCAUGCCGUAAACGAUGAGUGCUAAGUGU
rnacentral:rRNA from 1 species